GACGAACGCUGGCGGCGUGCUUAACACAUGCAAGUCGAACGGUAAGGCCCUUCGGGGUACACGAGUGGCGAACGGGUGAGUAACACGUGGGUGAUCUGCCCUGCACUUCGGGAUAAGCCUGGGAAACUGGGUCUAAUACCGGAUAGGACCACUGCCUGCAUGGGUGGUGGUGGAAAGCCUUUGCGGUGUGGGAUGGGCCCGCGGCCUAGCAGCUUGUUGGUGGGGUGAUGGCCUACCAAGGCGACGACGGGUAGCCGGCCUGAGAGGGUGACCGGCCACACUGGGACUGAGAUACGGCCCAGACUCCUACGGGAGGCAGCAGUGGUGAAUAUUGCACAAUGGGCGCAAGCCUGAUGCAGCGACGCCGCGUGAGGGAUGACGGCCUUCGGGUUGUAAACCUCUUUCAGCACCGACGAAGCGCAAGUGACGGUAGGUGCAGAAAAAGGACCGGCCAACUACGUGCCAGCCGCCGCCGUAA
rnacentral:rRNA from 1 species